UACAGUCACGUGCCCUACUAUGGGGAUUUUUUCCGACUAUUCUUGUUUUUGCUACUAUCAGGUUCUGAACGUCCAGCAGAUUCAAAAGCUAGAUAAUCCAACUGUACCAAGGGAUGUCGACUGACCACCAUGGUCUGAUGAGUGUGGAUGACAUUGCCUCGAGGUACACAGUAGAAGCCUCUGCUGUCCAACACAUUUGGAUGACUGGAGAUUGGUUGUUUGCAUCUGAACCUGAAGCUGAUGUUGAAGGCUGCACCUGUGGAGUCAGUGGUGAGGGAGGUGGCAGAUGAUUCCCCCCGAAUUCUCACCAACUUGAUCAGAUGUAGUUGGGUCUUGGAUUGCUUCAUCAGGAGCAUUAAACUGAAACUGAAAGACUGUAGUUUCUGAAUUUUCAUCAGCGCAAAACACAGUGGCAGCGAAAGAUUUAAGGAUGAUGCAUGAAUAUAUACUUCGAACUUUCUUUGUAAUAAACCUGGCGCUCCCAUGUUGCGGCACUUUUUGUAAUGCAACUAUUGAUUUUAAAUAUAUAUAUUUUGCUUA